rnacentral:rRNA from 1 species
GACGAACGCUGGCGGCGUGCUUAACACAUGCAAGUCGAACGGAAAGGCCCUGCUUUUGUGGGGUGCUCGAUUGGCGAACGGGUGAGUAACACGUGUGUAACCUGCCCUUGACUUUGGGAUAACUUCAGGAAACUGGGGCUAAUACCGGAUAGGAGCUCCUGCUGCAUGGGGGGGGGUGGAAAGUUUCGGCGGUUGGGGAUGGACUCGCGGCUUAUCCGCUUGUUGGUGGGGUAGUGGCUUACCAAGGCUUCGACGGGUAGCCCGCCUGAGAGGGUGACCGGCCACAUUGGGACUGAGAGACGGCACAGACUGCUACGGGAGGCAGCAGUGGGGAAUAUUGCACAAGGAGCGGAAGCCUGAUGCAGAAACGCCGCGUGCGGGAUGACGGCCUUAGGGUUGUAAACCGCUUUCGCCUGUGACGAAGCGUGAGUGACGGUAAUGGGUAAAGAAGCACCGGCUAACUACGUG